rnacentral:lncRNA from 1 species
CAGUGGCUGUGGUGUUGCUGUGCUGAGAGCGAGUUCGCGGGAUCGAUCUCGGCCCUGACGGCCGCGUUUCGAUAGGGGCGAAAUGC